UUUCCAUAUGCAUUUCUUGGAAAGGCCCAAGAAAUGGCAAAAAGACAAUAAAUAAAUAAAUAAAUAAGUCAUCAGGCAGAAGAUACCAUUAUUGCUUUCUUCUUCCAAAUUUCUAAAGAAGAGAUCUUUAGAUCUUCCUUUUAAGAAGCCGUAGUAAUUUUCAGUAACAAACCUAGAGAUCAAUUUUACUUAGGAAUACGAAUUUUCAAAUUCUAAAUAAAAUCUUAACAAAUUUAAUCCUUCUAAGUAUUGAAAAACUAUUACACUAUGAUCAAAUAGAUUUAUUCUGAAAAAGAGAAAUGUCAACAUAAGGAGGGCUAUCAAUGUAAUUUUUCACCUUAACCGAAGAGAAAAAAUAUAUGAUGAAGUUAAAUAGUUAUCGGAUAAAAUUUAGAGUCCAUUUAUAACAAAAUAAGUUCUUAAGCCAUAUGUCAUAAAACUCUUUGGAUGAUCGACCAUGUUAUUCAUGCACAUAGACGCACGUAAUAAAGACAAUUAUGUAUUAUUUAUGUAUUAUUUAUUUAUUUAUUUAUAUUUUGAAUAACAAACAUCAUAUGACUGAAACCAUAAUGCUGAAAGCAUUUCCUUAAUAUUAGGAACAUGAACGGGAUGCUCCCCCAUCAUGAUCCUCAAGAAUUCUUGAGUCGUCGCCUUCCCAGUGAGGGCUUCCCCAGCUAUUCUGUCGAAAAUUCAAUCCCUGCCCUCACACCAAGCUCUCCUGUCCCCCUUUUCUUUUCUUUUUCUUUCUUUCUUCUUUUUUUUUUUUUUUUUUUUUUUGUCUUUUCGUCCUUUCAGGGCCACACCCGCAGCAUAUAGAGGUUCCCAGGCGAGGGGUCUAAUCGGAGCGGUUGCUGCUGGUCUACACCAGAGCCAGCAACACCAGAUCAGAGCCAGAUCUUCGACUUACACCACAGCUCAGGGCAACGCCGGAUCCUUAACCCACUGAGCGGGGCCAGGGAUCGAACCCAAAACCUCAUGGUUCUUAGUCGGAUUCAUUUCCACUGUGCCGUGACGGGAACGCCCUGUUCCCUUUUCAUACUUUCCUUUUUCUUCAGUCAUUAUCUAAUAUUUCUCUUGCUUAUGUCUGCCUUCCAGAAGAAUAUACAUUUUAUUUUAUUCACACUCGCAACAGUGCCUGCACAUUAUGCUCUCAAUAAAUAAUUUCUGCUUGCUUGGGAGUAUGGCUCAGAGGUAGAGCAUUUGACUGUAAAUAAUUUCUGCUUAAUGAGUCAUGUAACAAGGCAAGCAUAUGAAGCAAUCAGCUUAAAUACUAAAAGAGACAAAAUUAUCUUUUUAUUGGAAGAUAAUACUGUAUACCUAGAAAACCCAACAUAGACUAGUAAAAAUAGCCAUUAAACUUAAUAAAAUGGUCGGACAAGGAGACUGGAAAUAAGAAGAAUAUACAAAAAUCAAUAUUUUUUUUUUGUAUUGCAACGUGAAUUUAGAAAUGAACAUGGGGAGUUCCCACUGUGGCUCAGCAGGUUAAUAAUAUGACUAAUAUCUAAGAGGAUGCAGCUUUGCUCCCUGGCCUCACCCACUGGGUUAAGGAUCUGGCAUUGCCAUGAGCUCAGUGUGGGUCGCAGACGUGGCUCAGAUCUGGCAUUGCUGUGGCUGUGGCAAAGGCCAGCAGCUACAGCUCCAAUUCGACCUCUAGCCUGGGAACUCCCAUAUGCCGCAGGUGUGGCCCUAAAAAUAAAUGAACAUGGGGGAAAUGUCUCAGUCACAGGAGCAAAUAAAAAAGGUAAAUAAAAAGGUAACAUAAACUUAAAAGAGACUAUAAAAAGACUUAAGACCUACAUAAUUAAAAUUAUGUAAAGUUAUUAAAAGAAAUAAAAUAUUACUAUAGUAAUAUAUUUUAGAUAGGAAUUCUUAAUAUCAAAAUGGAAUUGUUUCCAUUAUAUUAGUAUAAAGGUAAAGCAUUUAAAAUUAUAGUUCCAAUGAAAUUUUUUUGAAACUGGGUUAUAAAAGUCCAUAUGGUAGUAGGUAUGUCUCAUAAUAUCCAUGAAAAUAUUUUUUAAAAAUCUAUGUGAUGAACAGCUUUUCUUGAGAGAUACUCAAAUUUACCAUAAGGUUACUGCAAUUGAGAUAGUAUGGGGCUAACUGAGGAUAAAUAUAGUAAAGCACGGAAUAAAGGGCUUCUAAUAAGUCUUUUAUGUAAAACAACAUGUGGCUAAAAUGGCCUGAAAUUUCCUGGGGAAAAGGCUGGUCCAUUUAACAAAUUAUACGAACAAAAUAUUUCUGUCCUUUUGGAAGAAAAUAAAAAUGAAACCCCUUGUCCUAUACAAAAAUAAAUGUGAGAUGGAUUAAAUUUAAAUGCAAAGGAUAAAAAAAUUAAAUUAUUAGGAUGCAAUUUAGUAGACUUUUUCAUAACCUCAUCUCACUAAGAGAGGUCUUCCUAAGCCAAAGAGGAAAUCCAGAAACCUUAAAGGAAGAGACAGACACUGUGUGGCAAACAUAUACUAAAGAGUUGUGGGCAGGGGGGUGAAACAUUUUACUAAGAUGGCAGUCAAAAAAUUAAUAGCCUUAAUAUUACAUAGCUUUGAAAACUGCCAAGAAAAUAUUAUAAAUAAAUAGAAAUAGAAAAAUGGGCAAAGAAUAUAAAUAGACUAAUUUACACAAGAGGAAAUUCAAAUGUCCCAUAAAUACUAAAGGCCAUGAUAGUCAUAAUAAUGCAAAUAUCACCAAAACUUAUAUUCAAUAUGUCAUCUAUAAAAAUUGGAAAUUUUUGCAAGUGUAAUAAAAUCCUGGACAGGGGAGAACGUAGAGAAACAGUCACUCGCAUAACGUCUAUUGAAAAUAUGAAUCAAUACGAAAUUUUUAAACAGUAAUCUCUUGGUAUGUGUUUAAAAUCAUAAUAUACAUACCAGGAUAUUAUUGAAAUGUUUCCAAGAAGUAUUACACAAAACCACAAGUAGGUGUGAUUCCUUUUGUUUAAACUAGGAUUCAGUACAUAUGAUAUUAGGGUGGGUUUACAGCUAUAAAAAAUGGCAUCAAACAUAAAGCCGGUCAAAGGUUAUUGCUUAAUAAAUUGGGAGAGUUGGUGGAAUAUUUGAUGGACAAGCCUUAGAUGUGGCAUGUGUCUAAAACUCACUUUUAAUUAGCUAGAAUUCAGUCGUGUAACCACAUGAAAUUGCAGAAGAGAGGAGAAAUGUAUUCAAGUUGUUGCCCAGGAGGAAAAAGAAAAGAAAUUCUAGGUGGACAGCUUAAAGCCUUGGUAUAGAUAUAGAUACAGAUAGAUGAUAAGAUGAUAGAUAGAUAGAUAGAUAGAUAGAUAGAUAGAUAGAUAGAUAGAUAGAUAGAUAGAUAGAUAGAAUAUAGAUAGAUAGUACAUAAAUAGAUAGUAUAGGGCAAGGUCUGUGUAUUUGUAACUAUUCCACAGAAAUUCAAUAUAAACAUUACUUUUGUAUCUGGCAGAAAUGACAAGAAGUUGAAUAAAGAUUAUGCUCCAGAACCCUAUAGAAGAGAGUGAGACUUUUGUUGUAUUUUAUACUUCUUCAGACUGUUUACACUUCCUAACCUUAUGCAUAUAUUAUCCUUUGUUUCCCCA
rnacentral:lncRNA from 9 species